rnacentral:lncRNA from 1 species
UGUAACACCCCGAAAAUGGGAUUAGUAAUCAAACUCCGUUAAUACUGAAAGACGGGUGAAAUACCGUUAGUGGUAAAAUUUAACCCGAAAAUAUUAGGAUUUAAAGGAAUAAUCCUAAUAUUAAAUACAACGUGAAUAAAAGCUUUUAAGGGAGUAAGUUUAUAAGAAGUCCGAGUUAACGGGACUUAAAAUAAAACAGGUUAUAACUCCCAUAACCCACUAAAUAACUAGGAAUAUCAACCUAGUUAGUCUAGUGUUUUAAAAUAAAGAGGGAACUUGAUGUAGUAACCUUUAUAAACAUGGGUAAAGUAGAGGGACUAAAAUGGUUAAGAUGAGAAAAUGAGUUUUUAUUAAUUAAAACUAAAAACACCAAAACACACACCUUUGUGUGUGUUCUGGUCGUACAAAACACAGGAGCCAAGAAGGGCUCUCAAGCUCAAACCCUAACAAGCAUAAAAUCAACAAAUUGAAGGGGUAAAUCCAACCUAAAUCGAAAUCCAAGCACGAAUUCAUGAUCACCUCGAUGAAGGGAUCAUAAGUGAAUGGGUGAAGAUGGACCUAAUCCGGAUGAAGAUCAAGCGGCGAGCAAGAACCGAACACACGUUAAAUGA